rnacentral:misc_RNA from 1 species
UCCGGUUCAUCACCGGCAGUCUCCUUAGAGUUCCCAUCUUUACAUGCUGGUAACUAAGGAUAAGGGUUGCGCUCGUUACGGGACUUAACCCAACAUCUCACAACACGAGCUGACGACAGCCAUGCAGCACCUGUCUCACAGUUCCUUUCGGCACUUCCGCAUCUCUGCAGAAUUCUGUGGAUGUCAAGGGUAGGUAAGGUUCUUCGCGUUGCAUCGAAUUAAACCACAUGCUCCACCGCUUGUGCGGGCCCCCGUCAAUUCCUUUGAGUUUUAACCUUGCGGCCGUACUCCCCAGGCGGAAGACUUAUCGCGUUAGCUUCGAUACUAAAUGGUCCAAGCCACCCAACAUCUAGUCUUCAUCGUUUACAGCGUGGACUAC